rnacentral:rRNA from 1 species
AUGAACGCUGGCGGCGUGCCUAACACAUGCAAGUCGCACGGAGUCCAGCCUUUAAGACCUUCGGGUCACAGAGGGGAAGACUGAGUGGCGGACGGGUGAGUAACACGUGGGCAACCUGGCUCAUAGAGGGGGAUAACAGAGAGAAAUUUCUGCUAAUACCGCAUAAGCACACACUGCCGCAUGGCAGAGGGUGAAAAGAGAAUCGCUAUGAGAUGGACCCGCGUCUGAUUAGCCAGUUGGCAGGGUAAGAGCCUACCAAAGCGACGAUCAGUAGCCGAUCUGAGAGGAUGAACGGCCACAUUGGGACUGAGACACGGACCAAACUCCUACGGGAGGCAGCAGUGGGGGAUAUUGCACAAUGGGGGGAACCCUGAUGCAGCGACGCCGCGUGAGUGAAGAAGUAGUUCGGUAUGUAAAGCCCUAUCAGCAGGGAAGAUAAUGACAGUACCUGAAUAAGAAGCCCCGGCUAACUACGUG